GACGAACGCUGGCGGCGUGCUUAACACAUGCAAGUCGAACGGUGAAGCAGAGCUUGCUCUGUGGAUCAGUGGCGAACGGGUAAGUAACACGUGAGCAAUCUGCCCCUGACUCUGGGAUAAGCGCUGGAAACGGCGUCUAAUACCGGAUACGAGCUGCGAAGGCAUCUUCACCAGCUUGAAAGAAUUUCGGUCAGGGAUGAGCUCGCGGCCUAUCAGCUUGUUGGUGAGGUAACGGCUCACCAAGGGGUCGACGGGUAGCCGGCCUGAGAGGGUGAACGGCCACACUGGGACUUGGACACGGCCCAGACUCCUACGGGAGGGAGCAGUGGGGAAUAUUGCACAAUGGGCGAAAGCCUGAUGCAGCAACGCCGCGUGAGGGACGACGGCCUUCGGGUUGUAAACCUCUUUUAGCAGGAAAGAAGCGAAAGUGACGGUACCUGCAGAAAAAGCGCCGGCUAACUACGUGCCAGCAGCCGCGGUAACAC
rnacentral:rRNA from 1 species